GGCCAGGUAGCUCAGUUGGUAGAGCAGCGGACUGAAAAUCCGCGUGUCGGCGGUUCGACUCCGCCCUUGGCCACCA
rnacentral:tRNA from 1 species